AUCUUUCCUUUUCAGCAGAUAUCAUGACCACAAAGGUGGUUUUCCCAGGGCGAGGCUUAUACAUUAUACUUCGGAUGUGUUGGCCCCUGUGAGUUCCCCAAAUGUGGGAUACGCGACUGCACAAUUUGUGUAGUGGGGGACUGUGUUUGCUCUCUUCCCUG
rnacentral:snRNA from 1 species